rnacentral:tRNA from 1 species
GGGGCCAUAGCUCAGCUGGGAGAGCGCUUGCAUGGCAUGCAAGAGGUCGCGGGUUCGAUCCCCACUGGCUCCA